rnacentral:rRNA from 1 species
AACGAACGCUGGCGGCAGGCCUAACACAUGCAAGUCGAACGCUCCGCAAGGGGAGUGGCAGACGGGUGAGUAACACGUGGGAAUCUUCCUAUUGGUUCGGAAUAGCCCAGGGAAACUUGGGGUAAUACCGUAUAAGCCCGUGAGGGGAAAGAUUUAUCGCCGAUAGAUGAGCCCGCGUCUGAUUAGCUAGUUGGUGGGGUAACGGCCCACCAAGGCGACGAUCAGUAGCUGGUCUGAGAGGAUGACCAGCCACAUUGGGACUGAGACACGGCCCAAACUCCUACGGGAGGCAGCAGUGGGGAAUAUUGGACAAUGGGCGCAAGCCUGAUCCAGCCAUGCCGCGUGAGUGACGAAGGUCUUCGGAUUGUAAAGCUCUUUUGCCAGGGACGAUAAUGACGGUACCCGGAGAAUAAGCCCCGGCUAACUUCGUGCCAGCAGCCGCCGUAAUAC